rnacentral:lncRNA from 1 species
CAAGCCCCAUCCUUUUGUGCAGGCAUCUCGCUGUCUGCGCUGGGCACGGAGCGGCGCGCGCGCGCCCGUCUUUCCCUCGGCGGCCCCCGCGGCUCGGACCCGGGCCGGCAGACAGGCCAUCCAUCAUCCGCCCUCCUCCCGCGGAGCGCCGCAGCCGCCGCGGCCAAUCCGGCGGCAGGUGGGGCCGCACCUGCGCGACAGCCCGCCGCUUCCCUCCGCUCCCUUCGCCGCGCCUCGCGUGCUAGCGGUGCCCUUGUGAGCCACUGCGUUCUCCAAGGCCAGAACGGGACAGUUGACGAUGGUCGUACUUCUCCAUGUUCUGAGACCAGUUUAAACAAAAACAAAAACCAGACAACAACCUUGCAAGGGAAAGAAUUCAGAGUAAAUAAACAGUCUUUUUCUGGGAAGUAAAAUAUUUCCCUAAGAUGGAGAAAUUGAGAUGAGAGCUCAUCCACAAGAUUACCCAUCAAUGAGCACCAAUAGCAACCAAAUCCACUAGAAGACUGGGAGCUUUUAAGUCAAGAAACUUACAUCAGUAUCAUCAUUCCAAGAAGCGGUAUCCAAGCUGUUUUAUCGAAAGUGCGCAUGGGAGAUAAGACUCUGAGAAUUUAUAGAAACAAACAUUAGAAGGCAGGAAUGUGGAGAGAAGAAAGCUACCUGACAAGGGAAUCUCAGGAUACAAGGAAAACACCAAGGUG